ACGGAAGGCAGCAGUGGGGAAUAUUGGGCAAUGGGCGAAAGCCUGACCCAGCGACGCCGCGUGAGGGAAGAAGGUUUUCGGAUUGUAAACCUCUGUCCUCAGGGACGAUAAUGACGGUACCUGAGGAGGAAGCUCCGGCUAACUACGUGCCAGCAGCCGCGGUAAUACGUAGGGAGCGAGCGUUGUCCGGAAUUACUGGGUGUAAAGGGUGCGUAGGCGGGACGGCAAGUCAGAUGUGAAAUGUAUGGGCUUAACCCAUAACCUGCAUUUGAAACUGUUGUUCUUGAGUGAGGUAGAGGUAAGCGGAAUUCCUAGUGUAGCGGUGAAAUGCGUAGAUAUUAGGAGGAACAUCGGUGGCGAAGGCGGCUUACUGGGCCUUUACUGACGCUGAGGUACGAAAGCGUGGGGAGCAAACAGGAUUAGAUACCCUGGUA
rnacentral:rRNA from 1 species